rnacentral:rRNA from 1 species
AGUGAACGCUGGCGGUAGGCCUAACACAUGCAAGUCGAACGGCAGCACAGUAAGAGCUUGCUCUUACGGGUGGCGAGUGGCGGACGGGUGAGGAAUACAUCGGAAUCUACUUUUUCGUGGGGGAUAACGUAGGGAAACUUACGCUAAUACCGCAUACGACCUACGGGUGAAAGCAGGGGAUCUUCGGACCUUGCGCGAUUGAAUGAGCCGAUGUCGGAUUAGCUAGUUGGCGGGGUAAAGGCCCACCAAGGCGGCGAUCCGUAGCUGGUCUGAGAGGAUGGUAGGCCGCACUGGAACUGAAACAGGGUCCAGACUCCUACGGGAGGCAGCAGUGGGGAAUAUUAGACAAUGGGCGCAAGCCUGAUCCAGCCAUACCGCGUGGGUGAAGAAGGCCUUCGGGUUGUAAAGACCUUUUGUUGGGAAAGAAAAGCAGCAGGUUAAUACCCCGCUGUUCUGACGGUACCCAAAGAAUAAGCACCGGCUAACUACGUG